UACGUAGGGUGCGAGCGUUGUCCGGAAUUACUGGGCGUAAAGAGCUCGUAGGUGGUUUGUCGCGUUGUUCGUGAAAACUCACAACUCAAUUGUGGGCGUGCGGGCGAUACGGGCAGACUGGAGUACUGCAGGGGAGACUGGAAUUCCUGGUGUAGCGGUGGAAUGCGCAGAUAUCAGGAGGAACACCCGUAGCGAAGGCGGCACUCUGGGCCGGAACUGACGCUGAGGAGCGAAAGCGUGGGGAGCGAACAGG
rnacentral:rRNA from 1 species